rnacentral:ncRNA from 2 species
UGGUAGAGAAAGCAAUGAAUUGUAGUCUCUAUUUGGACGCUUGGACUACAAGGAGCUAAUAGCGUAACCGGUCUAUUUUUUA